rnacentral:rRNA from 1 species
AAUCUUGUAGUAGUAGCAUGGGCCUAUCGCUGAAGUUAACCCCUGGGCAUCCAAAUACUGUGGCUGGUUGGGUCAUGUUGAGAAUGGCUUUGAGUGCCUGUUCUGCUUCCACCUGGAUAACUGAUAAUUCCAGACCUAAUCCAAGCCCACAGGCACCAGCAGCUCUGGUGAUGGAGCGUCCCAUGGUCCUAUCAGCUACUUCAGAUGGAAGUCCGUAGUGCCUUAUGGUGAUCGGGAAUCCAGGUAAUAGGGGAUCAGUUUCGGUUCCAUAGAGGGAGCCCAAUAAUCAACUAUCCCAAUCAAGGAAGGUCAGCAGAUGUGCAAAUUACAAUGGUGGAAAGCAAUACUGGAUUCCUUUGAUAUCCUGUAAUUGGAAUGAGUCCAUUUUAAAUCUUUGUUUAAAAAAUAUAUUUAUUGAUUUCAGAGAGGGAGGGAGAGGACAAGAGAGAUAGAAACAUCAAUGAUAAGAGAGUCAUUGAUUGGCUGCCUCCUGCACACCCCACACUGGGGAUCGAGCUCACAACCCGGGCAUAUGCCCUGAUUGGGAAUCAAACUGUGACCUUUUGGUUCAUAGGUCUAAGCUCAACCACUGAGGCACACCAGCCAGGCCACUUGAAAUAUUUUAAGGAAGAACGGCAAAUCUGGUGCUGGCAGUUGGGGUAAUUCCGGCUUCAGUGCAGGAUAUUGAAUUUGGUGCAGUUAAAUUGCCAAGCUUGGAUUGCUGGCACGGGUCCAUGGCUGAGGAGCCUUGGUCCCCAUCCCCGCCCCCUGCCUCUGUGCUCUCCUGGCUCUUAGCAGUUUCUGGUGUUGAAGUGUGUACUUGGAGAAAAUUAGAGUGCUCAAAGCAGGGCGCGAGCUGCCUGGAUGCUGCCGCUAGGUAUCCUGGAAUGCGAGCAUGGUUCUGUUUUUUUUUUUUUUUUAAAUAUAUUUUAUUGAUUUUUUACAGAGAGGAAAGGAGAGGGAUAGAGAGUUAGAAACAUCCAUUAGCUGCCUCCUGCACACCCGCUACUGGGGAUGUGCCCGCAACCAAGGUACAUGCCCUUGACCGGAAUCGAACCUGGGACUCUUCAGUUCACAGGCCGACGCUCUGGCCACUGAGCCAAACUGGUCAGGGCCAUGGUUCUGUUUUUUGUGUCGAACUUUGCGGAGGCUGAUUAGAUGGGAUGCCUAGGGUGUUUGUUCCUAUUGCACCACUGAAGUUCAAAGUCUUAGUGCAGGACAGACCAGAGUGAAAGCUUUUUGCCAAGAAUACUUUAAAUAACAAGGAUGCAGGUGAAAGAAAGUAAGAGGUUUGAAGAGAUACAGAUCUCGGGUAGUUUUGACUAUAAAUGAUGCAAACAGCCAGCAUUAUUCCCGUGAUCCACUGGCAGCUUCCAAGAAACCAAAGCCCAUUAGGUGGUGGUAGCUGGGGUCUGGUUCCAAAGGUGAACUGAAAGGCACCGCAAUGGAGUCUGCUAUUUGACUUAGUCUAGACAACUCCACUGACUCCGGCAGGGACAGGAUUGCUAUGGGUGGCGAUGUGUGGCAUUUCACUUGCAGAGUAAUUUGGCUGGCAUAUUGAUAACCGAAGGAACUUGUGUGCUAACUAUUUAGGUUGUGUUGAGUGCUCAGUAUCCCUCAACUUCGACAAGUGGCGUUUCAGCCUAUGCCAGCGGCCCUUUAAGUCCAUUAGUGAUGUGCUUGGAUUGCAGUUAUUCUGCAUUAAGGAGUUCCCUGUGUGAGUAGAUCAAAAGGUUGCGUUAAAUUCCUGUCCCUUGUACACGCUGCCUGUUGCCCCUCAGAUUGCCCACUUGGGGUUGGCACUUGACCCCAGCAGAUCCUAGAGAAGAUGGUCUAAAUGAAAGUUGCAACCAGGUUUUGGUUGGUGAUCCUGCAGGAGGAGCAUUG